rnacentral:rRNA from 1 species
AUUGAACGCUGGCGGCAUGCCUUACACAUGCAAGUCGAACGGCAGCACGGGAGCUUGCUCCUGGUGGCGAGUGGCGAACGGGUGAGUAAUACAUCGGAACGUACCCAGUAGUGGGGGAUAACGCACCGAAAGGUGCGCUAAUACCGCAUACGACCUACGGGUGAAAGCGGGGGACCGUAAGGCCUCGCGCUAUUGGAGCGGCCGAUGUCUGAUUAGCUAGUUGGUGAGGUAAAGGCUCACCAAGGCUUCGAUCAGUAGCUGGUCUGAGAGGACGAUCAGCCACACUGGGACUGAGACACGGCCCAGACUCCUACGGGAGGCAGCAGUGGGGAAUUUUGGACAAUGGGCGAAAGCCUGAUCCAGCAAUGCCGCGUGUGCGAAGAAGGCCUUCGGGUUGUAAAGCACUUUUGUCAGGGAAGAAAUCUUUUAGGCUAAUACCCUGGAAGGAUGACGGUACCUGAAGAAUAAGCACCGGCUAACUACGUGCCAGCCGCCGCGGUAA